UUUUGGACAAUGGGCGCAAGCCUGAUCCAGCAAUGCCGCGUGCAGGAUGAAGGCCUUCGGGUUGUAAACUGCUUUUGUACGGAACGAAAAGGCUCUGGUUAAUACCUGGGGUCGAUGACGGUACCGUAAGAAUAAGCACCGGCUAACUACGUGCCAGCAGCCGCGGUAAUACGUAGGGUGCGAGCGUUAAUCGGAAUUACUGGGCGUAAAGCGUGCGCAGGCGGUGAUGUAAGACAGUUGUGAAAUCCCCGGGCUCAACCUGGGAAUUGCAUCUGUGACUGCAUUGCUGGAGUGCGGCAGAGGGGGAUGGAAUUCCGCGUGUAGCAGUGAAAUGCGUAGAUAUGCGGAGGAACACCGAUGGCGAAGGCAAUCCCCUGGGCCUGCACUGACGCUCAUGCACGAAAGCGUGGGGAGCAAACAGG
rnacentral:rRNA from 1 species